rnacentral:rRNA from 1 species
UACAGAGGGUGCGAGCGUUGUUCGGAAUUAUUGGGCGUAAAGGGCGCGUAGGCGGUGCGGUAAGUCACCUGUGAAAUCUCCUGGCUCAACUGGGAGCUUGCAGGCGAAACUGCCGUGCUGGAGUGUGGGAGAGGUGAGUGGAAUUCCCGGUGUAGCGGUGAAAUGCGUAGAGAUCGGGAGGAACACCAGUGGCGAAGGCGACUAUCUGGCUGACAACUGACGCUGAGACUCGAAAGCAUGGGGAGCAAACAGG